rnacentral:sRNA from 1 species
UUUACAUCGGCAGAAUUGGUCUCGUCGGAAGGCAUGUUGAAAUCAGACCAAAAUGGGAUUGAAAGCGGUUCUCUUACGUACUCAUGCGAGAGUGA